AGCCCCGUGGUGAAGAAACACGUUGGAUUGCAAAUCCAGAGACGUAGAUUAAUAGUCUGCCGGGGCUU
rnacentral:tRNA from 1 species